GUGUGUUUCUGCUGUAGGGUGCACACCCUAAUACAAUAGUCUCCGUAGGCCUAUGUGUGGAUCACAGAUAUGAUAAACACGGGAUUAAUAUUACAAUUCCUGGUUAGGAGCUCCGGGGGGCUGUGUCUCUGCGGUCUGGCUGUGUAUCAGACAGUGACACUCGCUGCUCCGCCCGCACAGUGAAUCAGGCCCCGUGUUUACCGCCGUAGUCUGAGGUCACGGUGACUGUGGCUGACGGAGGCGGCCAUGCCGUGAGUGUCCGCCAGGUGGCGCUGCGCUGUCAGCCAAUCUGGGUGAUUGACGCUAAAAUGACGCGUAUUCGGUCACAUUCCGCCAUGUCCGGGCACUGAGCGGUCUGUCCCGGCCCGGGGGGCCAUGGCUGGACAGCAAAGCGAUGCACACCGCCGCUAUCCCCACCCCCCCAUCCUCCUCUCCUCAUCCGGAUGUCUCGGCGGAAGGGGAACUGCCCUCCCGCCAUUCCACCGCAGCACGUCACCAUGCCAGUGACGUCACGGAGCACGCUGACGUCAGGCAGCAGGGCCUAGCCGGACGUGUUCCCAGUGUCCCCCCCGAGCUGAGGAGCGGGCUCCGUGCGGCGGGGACUCGGAGGAUCGGGCGGUGACGGUGAGCGCGGCGCUUCUUCCUGUGACUCGGGCCGGGCCGGGAGGCGGAUCCCCCGUGGGGACCCGAGACGUUCACAUCGGUGAUUGGCUGCAGCUUGUCCCCGAGCUGUGAGUUCACAGGACGCAGGUAAUUCCAGCCAAACAGCCGGCCUGGAGGAGGAGCAGAGACCGGGGAACACACACCGGCCACCCCGGGGGCAGGGGAGAUACACCUCCUCCUGGGGGCAAUAGUGUCAUCCUGGGGGCAAUAGUGUCAUCCUGGGGGCAAUAGUGUCAUCCUGGGGGUAAUAGUGUCAUCCUGGGGGCAGGGGAUAUACACCUCCUCCUGGGGGCAAUAGUGUCAUCCUGGGGGCAAUAGUGUCAUCCUGGGGGCAGGGGAUAUACACCUCCUCCUGGGGGCUGGGGGUAAUAGUGUCAUCCUGGGGGCAGUAGUGUCCUCCUGGGGGCAGAGGAUAUACACCUCCUCCUGGGGGCUGGGGGUAAUAGUGUCAUCCUGGGGGCAAUAGUGUCAUCCUGGGGGCAGGGGAGAUACACCUCCUCCUGGGGGCAAUAGUGUCAUCCUGGGGGUAAUAGUGUCAUCCUGGGGGCAGGGGAUAUACACCUCCUCCUGGGGGCAAUAGUGUCAUCCUGGGGGCAAUAGUGUCAUCCUGGGGGCAGGGGAUAUACACCUCCUCCUGGGGGCUGGGGGUAAUAGUGUCAUCCUGGGGGUAAUAGUGUCAUCCUGGGGGCAGGGGAUAUACACCUCCUCCUGGGGGCAAUAGUGUCAUCCUGGGGGCAAUAGUGUCAUCCUGGGGGCAGGGGAUAUACACCUCCUCCUGGGGGCUGGGGGUAAUAGUGUCAUCCUGGGGGCAGUAGUGUCCUCCUGGGGGCAGAGGAUAUACACCUCCUCCUGGGGGCUGGGGGUAAUAGUGUCAUCCUGGGGGCAAUAGUGUCAUCCUGGGGGCAGGGGAGAUACACCUCCUCCUGGGGGCAGAGGAUAUACACCUCCUCCUGGGGGCUGGGGAUAAUAGUGUCAUCCUGGGGGCAGGGGAUAUACACCUCCUCCUGGGGGCAAUAGUGUCAUCCUGGGGGCAGGGGAUAUACACCUAAUCCUGGGGGGCAAUAGUGUCCUCCUGGGGGCAGAGGAUAUACACCUCCUCCUGGGGGCAGGGGAUAUACACCUCCUCCUGGGGGCAAUAAUGUCAUCCUAGGGGCAGGGGACAUUUUAAACAACUUCUUGUUCUGUUUCCCUCUCAUUCCCAGUCCCGGCCCUGUAUAAACAGUCUGCUUCUAAUGUGCAAACUGCCAACGAUAUGUACUAUUAUUUCAUUCAGAGCUGGCCAAAUUUUAGAUACCUAGCUGCAAUGGUCAUGGCAAAGCAUCAUGUCACUUGUAGUUCUGGGGAUCUAGCGGCAGACUGUAACACUGGGCUUAUAAGUGUGUAUAUGUGUGUGUGACUGUAUUCACAAUAAAUAUUUGAAUUUGGUUGAAAAGUGUAGUGAGAGCUCUCCUUCGAGAUAAAAUUACACACACACACGUAUUGGAAAAAAACAAAACAAAAGAAUUUAGCGCUAUGAGUGAUUUGAUUGAAUCGUAUACAUUGAAUACAGAUAUAUAAGAUAACAAAUAUAAUAUAGUGCAGAUUGUAAAAUACUGUGCAAUUUAUGUGAAGUAGAUAAAUGGAUAACUCACAUUCUCAAGUGCCUAUAUUAUUGGCUCUGUAAACUGGACUAGUAUGCGUUCUAGGGCAGCAUCCCACCACUAUUUCCUGCUGAAAUUUUUUCUCAGGGAAAAUUAAAAUCAUUAGGAACAUCCAAUGUGUAGUAUAAUUAUUUCAAAGGUAUCUUGGAUAAAAUGUGAAUAGGUAUUAAGCUCACUUUUUUCAGAGCCUUAAAGGACCACUAUAGGCACCCAGACCACUUCAGCUUAAUGAAGUGGUCUGGGUGCCAGGUCCAUCUAGGGUUAACCCUGCAGCUGUAUGUUUACUUUAGGGUUAAUCAAGCCUCUAGUGGCUCCCUCAUUGACAGCCGCUAUAGGCGCUUCUGCGCUUCUCACUGUGAUUUUUUUUUUUUUUUCACAGUGAGAAGACGCCAGCGUCUAUAGGAAAGCAUUGAGUGCUUUCCUAUGGACUAGCUGAAUGUGCGCGGCUCUUGCUGUGCAUGCGCAUUCAGCCAAUGACAUCAGAAGAGGGAGGAGAGUCCCCAGCGCCGAGGGAGCCCGGCCCUGGAGAAAG